UACGAAGGGAGCUAGCGUUGUUCGGAAUCACUGGGCGUAAAGCGCACGUAGGCGGACGUGUCAGUCAGGGGUGAAAUCCCGGGGCUCAACCUCGGAACUGCCUUUGAUACAGCACGUCUUGAGUCCGGAAGAGGGGGGUGGAAUUCCUAGUGUAGAGGUGAAAUUCGUAGAUAUUGGGAAGAACACCGGUGGCGAAGGCGGCGCACUGGUCCGGUACUGACGCUGAGGCGCGAAAGCGUGGGGAGCAAACAGG
rnacentral:rRNA from 1 species